GCGGUGGUGGCGGAAUGGCAGACGCACUAGAUUCAGGUUCUAGUAGGGUUAAACCUGUGUGAGUUCAAGUCUCAUCCACCGCA
rnacentral:tRNA from 1 species